CGUGUAAACGAUAUACACUUAAAAUUAAAAUAAAGUUCAAAAUUUGUUUACAUAAAAAAUUAAAAUGCAACUACAUUGUUUCGUGAACAAAAUAAUUAUUUCAAUAGUUUUCAUCAUAACUUAUAAUGAAUUACGACUACCGAUUGUCUGUGCAUAUCCCGAACCCGAACCAGGAUCAAAUUACAAGAGCUUGGGUAAUAUUUACUAGUAAAAUCUUCAUAUUUAUUUAAUUCUGUGUUCAAAUGUACACGAUUUUUAAGGUCACUACAAUACGGAUCCCUACAUAACCAUUUCCGGUAUUUCUGCCGGUGGUGCAUUCUCCAUGAUGCUCGCCUUUAUCCACUCGUCGUUCAUAAAAGGGGCCGGAAUAUUUGCAGGCGCCCCCUUCCCCAUUGCUUUGGUGGCGUUGGAAAAAUUUUGGAAUUUUGGAAAUUUCUCAGCCAUGACGACAUGGACGGACUAUCUUGCCCACAAAGGAUGGAUUGACGAUCCGUAUAAAAAUAUGAGGAGCAAUUUAGGAGCAUUCAUUUAUCAUGGCAGUGCGGAUCAAAUAGUGCCAAAAUUCUAUUCUGAAAUGAAUUUAAGACAAUUUGAACACUACGGGGUUCCCAGGACAAAAAAUUUGAUUUCAAAAGUUCCUUCUGGACAUUCUGUUCUGUUCUGUUCAAUCUUUUACGUCUGCGGUAUAUGAUAUGUGAGCCACAUCGUUUCCAAUACCAAGACAGGGAUAGAUACUGACAUCAACAACUACAAGGAAAGCCAAUUAAUGCUACCGGAGGUUCUGAAUUCGACUAUCGCAUCUGCUCCAUCGGUGUGUAUAAUGGAGUCUGUGCCUGUGGCUAUGCUGGGAUUUACGACAUGUUUUCCUUCUUAUAUCAAGAUAAGUACAUCGCUCCAACGUACGAACCGGGUACUUCGGGACAUCUCUUCAAAUUCAAUCAGGACGAAUUUUUCGAUUUCGGAUCUGCAAAAAAACACGGCUUUUAUCCACACGGGUACGCUUAUGUCCCGUUCCGUUGUCGACCGGAGACUGGGAUUAAGUGUCGACUUCAUUUCGCAUUUCAAGGCUGCUCACAAAGUCUCGCAGAUCUCUGGGUUUUCAAAAAGCCACCCAGCUUCAUUCAAGAAACGGGCUAUUUGGAAGUUGCUGAUGCAAAUGAUAUCAUCAUGGUGUUUCCGUUGUCUUGGAUCGACCCUAAAAAUGUGGGGUUCAAUUUUGUCGGCUGUUUUGACAUCUAUUCUCAUACGGAUCCGUUCAGGAUUAAAUUUGCAACUCGAUGGGGAUAUCAACCACUUGCAGUUAAGAGAAUGUUUGCAGUUAAGACAAUAAUAAGUACAUACACACAUACAUAAAUGAUGAUAAAACACAAGGUGCCAAAUUGUAUCUACAUUGGUUGUGGAAAUGUUUGAAGAGUAGUCCCAGCCGAAAAUGUCAGUUUUGAAAUAAAUUGGGAAAGCCCGUAUAACAAUGAAAAGAUGUGUCCCGGAUC